rnacentral:misc_RNA from 1 species
GCGCCAGUCCUCCGAUAGACUGAGUCGCCCGGGUACCCGUGUAUCCAAUAAAGCCUUUUGCUGUUGCAUCCGAAUCGUGGUCUCGCUGAUCCUUGGGAGGGUCUCCUCAGAGUGAUUGACUGCCCAGCCUGGGGGUCUUUCAUUUGGGGGCUCGUCCGGGAUUUGGAGACCCCCGCCCAGGGACCACCGACCCACCGUCGGGAGGUAAGCUGGCCAGCGAUCGUUUUGUCUCCGUCUCUGUCUUUGUGCGUGUGUGUGUGUGUGCCGGCAUCUACUUUUUGCGCCUGCGUCUGAUUCUGUACUAGUUAGCUAACUAGAUCUGUAUCUGGCGGCUCCGUGGAAGAACUGACGAGUUCGUAUUCCCGACCGCAGCCCUGGGAGACGUCUCAGAGGCAUCGGGGGCCCGCUGGGUGGCCCAAUCAGUAAGUCCGAGUCCCGAUUCGGACUAUUUGGGGCCCCUCCUUUGUCGGAGGGGUACGUGUGUUCUUUUAGGAGACGAGAGGUCCAAGCCCUCAACGCCUCCAUCUGAAUUUUUAUUUUCGGUUUUUCGCCGAAACCGCAGCGAAUCUUGUCUGUCUCAGUAUUGUUUUGUCAUUUGUCUGUUCGUUAUUGUUUUGGACCGCUUCUAAAAACAUGGGACAGACCGUAACCACCCCUCUGAGUCUGACCCUAAAACACUGGGAAGAUGUCCAGCGCAUCGCGUCCAAUCAGUCCGUAGAUGUCAAGAAGAGACGCUGGGUCACCUUCUGCUCUGCCGAGUGGCCAACUUUCGGUGUAGGGUGGCCACAAGAUGGUACUUUUAAUUUGGACAUUAUUCUACAGGUUAAAUCUAAGGUGUUCUCUCCUGGUCCCCACGGACACCCGGAUCAGGUCCCAUAUAUUGUCACCUGGGAGGCUAUUGCCUAUGAACCCCCUCCGUGGGUCAAACCUUUUGUCUCUCCCAAACUCUCCCCCUCUCCAACCGCUCCCGUCCUCCCAUCCGGUCCUUCGACCCAACCUCCGCCCCGAUCUGCCCUUUACCCUGCUCUUACCCCCUCUAUAAAACCCAGACCUUCUAAACCUCAGGUUCUCUCCGAUAAUGGCGGACCUCUCAUUGACCUUCUCUCAGAAGACCCUCCGCCGUACGGAGGACAGGGACUGUCCUCCUCUGACGGAGAUGGCGACAGAGAAGAGGCCACCUCCACUUCUGAGAUUCCUGCCCCCUCUCCCAUAGUGUCUCGCCUGCGGGGCAAAAGAGACCCCCCCGCGGCAGAUUCCACCACCUCUCGGGCUUUCCCACUCCGUUUGGGGGGUAAUGGUCAGUUGCAGUACUGGCCGUUUUCCUCCUCUGAUCUAUAUAACUGGAAAAAUAAUAAUCCUUCCUUCUCUGAGGAUCCAGGUAAACUGACUGCAUUGAUUGAAUCCGUCCUCACCACCCACCAGCCCACCUGGGAUGAUUGCCAGCAAUUAUUAGGGACUCUGCUUACCGGGGAGGAGAAGCAGCGGGUGCUCCUCCAAGCCCGAAAGGCUGUCCGGGGCAACGAUGGGCGCCCCACCCAACUGCCCAACGAGGUUGACGCUGCUUUUCCCCUUGAACGUCCCGAUUGGGAUUACACCACCCAAAGAGGUAGGAACAACCUAGUUCUCUAUCGCCAGUUGCUUUUAGCAGGUCUCCAAAACGUGGGCCGAAGCCCCACCAAUUUGGCCAAGGUAAAAGGAAUAACCCAGGGACCUAAUGAGUCCCCCUCAGCCUUCCUAGAGAGACUCAAGGAAGCCUAUCGCAGAUACACUCCUUAUGAUCCUGAGGACCCUGGGCAAGAAACGAAUGUAUCUAUGUCAUUCAUCUGGCAGUCCGCUCCAGACAUUGGUCGAAAGUUAGAGCGGUUAGAAGACUUAAAAAGUAAAACUUUAGGAGAUUUAGUGAGAGAAGCCGAAAGGUUCUUUAAUAAAAGAGAAACUCCAGAAGAAAGAGAAGAGCGUGUUAGAAGGGAGACCGAGGAAAAGGAAGAGCGGCGUAGGGCAGAAGAGGAGCAGAAAGAGAAAGAGAGGGACCGUAAGAGACAUAGAGAAAUGAGCAAACUUUUGGCCACCGUAGUUAGUGGACAGAGACAGGAUAGACAGGGGGGAGAGCGAAGGAGGCCCCAACUUGACAAGGAUCAAUGUGCCUACUGUAAAGAAAAAGGACACUGGGCUAAAGACUGCCCAAAGAAGCCACGGGGUCCCCGAGGACCGCGACCCCAGACCUCCCUCCUGACUUUAGACGACUAGGGGGGUCAGGGUCAGGAGCCCCCCCCUGAACCCAGGAUAACCCUCACUGUCGGGGGGCAACCCGUCACCUUCCUGGUGGAUACUGGGGCCCAACACUCCGUGCUGACUCAAAAUCCUGGGCCCCUAAGUGACAGGUCGGCUUGGGUCCAAGGGGCUACUGGAGGAAAGCGGUAUCGCUGGACCACAGAUCGCAAGGUACACCUAGCUACCGGUAAGGUCACUCACUCUUUCCUCCAUGUGCCAGACUGCCCCUACCCCUUGCUAGGAAGAGACUUGUUAACUAAACUAAAAGUCCAGAUCCACUUUGAGGGAUCAGGAGCCCAGGUUGUGGGACCAAAAGGACAGCCUCUACAGGUAUUGACCCUAAACCUAGAGGAUGAGUAUCGGCUUUAUGAGACCUCAGCAGAGCCGGAAGCUUCUCCUGGGUCCACCUGGCUCUCCGACUUUCCCCAGGCCUGGGCAGAAACCGGGGGCAUGGGACUGGCAGUUCGCCAGGCGCCUCUAAUCAUACCUCUGAAGGCAACCUCCACCCCUGUGUCCAUAAAACAAUACCCCAUGUCACAGGAAGCCAGACUGGGGAUCAAGCCCCACAUACAGAGGCUGUUGGACCAGGGAAUACUGGUACCCUGCCAGUCCCCCUGGAAUACACCCCUGCUACCCGUUAAGAAACCAGGAACUAACGAUUAUAGGCCUGUCCAGGAUCUGAGAGAAGUCAACAAGCGGGUGGAAGACAUCCACCCCACCGUGCCCAAUCCUUAUAACCUCCUAAGUGGGCUCCCACCGUCCCACCGGUGGUAUACUGUGCUUGAUUUAAAGGAUGCCUUUUUCUGCCUGAGACUCCACCCCACCAGUCAGCCUCUCUUCGCCUUCGAGUGGAGAGAUCCAGGGAUGGGAAUCUCAGGACAAUUAACCUGGACCAGACUCCCACAGGGUUUCAAAAACAGUCCCACCCUGUUUGAUGAGGCACUGCACAGAGACCUAGCAGGCUUCCGGAUCCAGCACCCAGACUUGAUCCUGCUACAGUACGUGGAUGACUUACUGCUGGCCGCCACUUCUGAGCUCGACUGCCAACAAGGUACUCGGGCCCUGUUACAAACCCUAGGGGACCUCGGGUAUCGGGCCUCGGCCAAGAAAGCCCAAAUUUGCCAGAAACAGGUCAAGUAUCUGGGGUAUCUUCUAAAAGAGGGUCAGAGAUGGCUGACUGAGGCCAGAAAAGAGACUGUGAUGGGGCAGCCUAUUCCGAAGACCCCUCGACAACUAAGGGAGUUCCUAGGGACGGCAGGCUUCUGUCGCCUCUGGAUCCCUGGGUUUGCAGAAAUGGCAGCCCCCUUGUACCCUCUCACCAAAACGGGGACUCUGUUUAAUUGGGGCCCAGACCAGCAAAAGGCCUAUCAAGAAAUCAAACAGGCUCUUCUAACUGCCCCAGCCCUGGGGUUGCCAGAUUUGACUAAGCCCUUUGAACUCUUUGUCGACGAGAAGCAGGGCUACGCCAAAGGCGUCCUAACGCAAAAACUGGGACCUUGGCGUCGGUCGGUGGCCUACCUGUCCAAAAAGCUAGACCCAGUGGCAGCUGGGUGGCCCCCUUGCCUACGGAUGGUAGCAGCCAUUGCCGUUCUGACAAAGGAUGCAGGCAAGCUAACUAUGGGACAGCCGCUAGUCAUUCUGGCCCCCCAUGCGGAAGAAGCACUGGUCAAACAACCCCCUGACCGCUGGCUAUCCAACGCCCGCAUGACCCACUACCAGGCAAUGCUCCUAGACACUGACCGAGUUCAGUUCGGACCAGUGGUGGCCCUCAAUCCUGCCACCUUACUCCCUCUCCCGGAAGAAGGAGCCCCCCAUGAUUGCCUCGAGAUCUUGGCUGAAACGCAUGGAACCAGACCGGAUCUCACCGACCAGCCCAUCCCAGACGCCGACCACACCUGGUAUUCCGAUGGGAGCAGCUUUUUGCAAGAAGGACAGCGAAAGGCUGGGGCAGCGGUGACCACUGAGACCGAGGUAAUCUGGGCAAGGGCACUGCCGGCUGGAACAUCUGCCCAACGGGCCGAACUGAUAGCACUCACUCAAGCCUUGAAGAUGGCAGAAGGUAAGAGGCUAAACGUUUACACUGACAGCCGAUAUGCUUUCGCCACGGCCCAUAUCCAUGGAGAGAUCUAUAGGAGGCGAGGGUUGCUAACCUCAGAGGGUAGAGAAAUCAAAAACAAGAGCGAGAUCCUGGCUUUACUAAAAGCUCUUUUUCUGCCAAAGAGACUCAGUAUAAUCCACUGCCUGGGGCAUCAAAAAGGAGAUAGUGCCGAGGCUAGGGGCAACCGCCUAGCAGACCAAGCGGCCCGGGAGGCAGCCAUAAAGACGCCUCCAGAUACAUCCACUCUCCUUAUAGAGGAUUCAACCCCAUAUACGCCUGCCUAUUUCCAUUAUACUGAAACAGAUCUAAAGAAACUCAGAGAGCUUGGGGCCACCUAUAACCAGAGCAAAGGAUACUGGGUCUUCCAAGGCAAGCCGGUGAUGCCCGACCAAUUUGUAUUUGAACUGUUAGACUCACUCCACCGGCUCACCCACCUCGGCUACCAGAAAAUGAAAGCACUCCUUGACAGAGGAGAAAGCCCCUACUACAUGCUAAACCGGGACAAAACCCUCCAAUAUGUGGCAGAUUCCUGCACGGUCUGUGCCCAAGUAAAUGCCAGCAAAGCUAAAAUCGGGGCAGGAGUGAGAGUACGAGGACAUCGGCCAGGCUCCCAUUGGGAGAUCGAUUUUACAGAAGUCAAGCCAGGGCUGUAUGGGUACAAGUACCUCCUGGUAUUCGUGGACACCUUCUCUGGUUGGGUGGAAGCCUUUCCAACCAAGAGAGAAACAGCAAGAGUCGUGUCCAAGAAAUUGCUGGAAGAAAUAUUCCCGAGAUUCGGAAUGCCACAGGUAUUGGGAUCUGAUAACGGGCCUGCCUUCACCUCCCAGGUAAGUCAGUCGGUGGCCGAUUUACUGGGGAUCGAUUGGAAAUUACAUUGUGCUUAUAGACCCCAGAGUUCAGGUCAGGUAGAAAGAAUGAAUAGAACCAUCAAGGAGACUCUAACUAAAUUAACGCUUGCAGCUGGCACUAGAGACUGGGUACUCCUACUCCCCUUAGCUCUUUACCGAGCCCGGAACACUCCGGGCCCCCAUGGACUGACUCCGUAUGAAAUCUUGUACGGGGCGCCCCCGCCCCUUGUUAACUUCCAUGACCCCGACAUGUCAGAAUUAACUAAUAGCCCAUCUCUCCAAGCUCACUUACAGGCCCUCCAAACGGUGCAGCGAGAAAUUUGGAAACCACUGGCCGAGGCCUACCGGGACCAACUAGACCAACCAGUGAUACCACACCCCUUCCGGAUUGGAGACUCCGUGUGGGUGCGCCGGCACCAGACCAAAAACUUAGAACCUCGCUGGAAGGGACCCUACACCGUCCUACUGACCACCCCCACCGCUCUCAAGGUAGACGGCAUCUCUGCAUGGAUACACGCCGCCCACGUCAAGGCAGCGACCACGCCCCCGAUAAAACCAUCAUGGAGAGUACAACGCUCUCAAAACCCUUUAAAAAUCAGGUUAACCCGUGGGGCCCCCUAAUUGUCCUUCUGAUUCUCGGAGGGGUCAACCCCGUUACGUUGGAAAACAGCCCCCACCAGGUUUUUAACCUCACCUGGGAAGUGACUAAUGGAGACCGAGAAACGGUGUGGGCAAUAACCGGCAAUCACCCUCUGUGGACUUGGUGGCCUGACCUCACACCAGAUCUCUGUAUGUUGGCCCUCCACGGGCCGUCCUAUUGGGGCCUAGAAUAUCGGGCUCCUUUUUCUCCUCCCCCGGGGCCCCCCUGCUGUUCAGGAAGCAGCGACUCCACGCCAGGCUGUUCCAGAGAUUGUGAGGAGCCCCUGACUUCAUAUACUCCCCGGUGCAAUACGGCCUGGAACAGACUUAAGUUAUCUAAAGUGACACAUGCACACAAUGGAGGAUUCUAUGUCUGCCCCGGGCCACAUCGCCCCCGGUGGGCCCGGUCAUGUGGUGGUCCAGAAUCCUUCUAUUGUGCCUCUUGGGGCUGCGAAACCACAGGCCGAGCAUCCUGGAAACCAUCCUCGUCUUGGGACUACAUCACAGUAAGCAACAAUCUAACCUCAGACCAGGCAACCCCAGUAUGCAAAGGUAAUGAGUGGUGCAACUCCUUAACUAUCCGGUUCACGAGCUUUGGAAAACAGGCCACCUCCUGGGUCACAGGCCAUUGGUGGGGAUUGCGCCUAUACGUCUCUGGACAUGACCCAGGGCUCAUCUUUGGGAUCCGACUUAAAAUUACAGACUCGGGGCCCCGGGUCCCAAUAGGGCCAAACCCCGUCUUGUCAGACCGGCGACCACCUUCCCGGCCUAGACCCACCAGAUCUCCCCCGCCUUCAAACUCCACCCCAACCGAGACACCCCUCACCCUCCCCGAACCCCCGCCAGCGGGAGUCGAAAACCGAUUGUUAAAUCUAGUAAAAGGAGCCUACCAAGCCCUCAACCUCACCAGUCCUGAUAAAACCCAAGAGUGCUGGUUAUGCCUUGUAUCGGGACCCCCAUACUACGAAGGGGUUGGCGUCCUAGGUACUUAUUCCAACCAUACCUCUGCCCCAGGUAACUGUUCCGUGGCCUCCCAACACAAGCUGACCCUGUCCGAAGUGACCGGACAGGGACUCUGCGUAGGAGCAGUUCCCAAAACCCAUCAGGCCCUGUGUAAUACCACCCAGAAGACGAGCGACGGGUCCUACUAUCUGGCUGCUCCCGCCGGGACCAUUUGGGCUUGCAACACCGGGCUCACUCCCUGCCUAUCUACCACUGUACUCGACCUCACCACCGAUUACUGUGUCCUGGUCGAGCUUUGGCCAAGGGUGACCUACCAUUCCCCUAGUUAUGUUUACCACCAAUUUGAAAGACGAGCCAAAUAUAAAAGAGAACCCGUCUCACUAACUCUGGCCCUACUAUUAGGAGGACUCACUAUGGGCGGAAUUGCCGCUGGAGUGGGAACAGGGACUACCGCCCUAGUGGCCACUCAGCAGUUCCAACAACUCCAGGCUGCCAUGCACGAUGACCUUAAAGAAGUUGAAAAGUCCAUCACUAAUCUAGAAAAAUCUUUGACCUCCUUGUCCGAAGUAGUGUUACAGAAUCGUAGAGGCCUAGAUCUACUAUUCCUAAAAGAGGGAGGUUUGUGUGCUGCCUUAAAAGAAGAAUGCUGUUUCUAUGCCGACCACACAGGAUUAGUACGGGAUAGCAUGGCCAAACUUAGAGAAAGAUUGAGUCAGAGACAAAAGCUCUUUGAAUCCCAACAAGGGUGGUUUGAAGGGCUGUUUAAUAAGUCCCCUUGGUUCACCACCCUGAUAUCCACCAUCAUGGGUCCCCUGAUAAUCCUCUUGUUAAUUUUACUCUUUGGGCCUUGUAUUCUCAAUCGCCUGGUCCAGUUUAUCAAAGACAGGAUUUCGGUAGUGCAGGCCCUGGUUCUGACUCAACAAUAUCAUCAACUUAAGACAAUAGAAAAUUAAAAAUCACGUGAAUAAAAGAUUUUAUUCAGUUUACAGAAAGAGGGGGGAAUGAAAGACCCCUUCAUAAGGCUUAGCCAGCUAACUGCAGUAACGCCAUUUUGCAAGGCAUGGAAAAAUACCAGAGCUGAUGUUCUCAGAAAAACAAGAACAAGGAAGUACAGAGAGGCUGGAAAGUACCGGGACUAGGGCCAAGAACAGAUGGUUCCCAGAAACAGGAUAUCUGUGGUUAAGCACUAGGGCCCCGGCCCAGGGCCAAGAACAGAUGGUUCCCAGAAACAGGAUAUCUGUGGUUAAGCACUAGGGCCCCGGCCCAGGGCCAAGAACAGAUGGUUCCCAGAAAUAGCUAAAACAACAACAGUUUCAAGAGACCCAGAAACUGUCUCAAGGUUCCCAGAUGACCGGGGAUCAACCCCAAGCCUCAUUUAAACUAACCAAUCAGCUCGCUUCUCGCUUCUGUACCCGCGCUUAUUGCUGCCCAGCUCUAUAAAAAGGGUAAGAACCCCACACUCGGCGCGCCAGUCCUCCGAUAGACUGAGUCGCCCGGGUACCCGUGUAUCCAAUAAAGCCUUUUGCUGUUGCA